rnacentral:rRNA from 1 species
ACGGGAGGCAGCAGUGGGGGAUAUUGGACAAUGGAGGAAACUCUGAUCCAGCGACGCCGCGUGAGUGAAGAAGUAUUUCGGUAUGUAAAGCUCUAUCAGCAGGGAAGAAAGAGCGCAAGCAUUGACUGUACCUGACUAAGAAGCCCCGGCUAACUACGUGCCAGCAGCCGCGGUAAUACGGAGGAUGCGAGCGUUAUCCGGAUUUAUUGGGUUUAAAGGGUGCGCAGGCGGCACGUUAAGUCAGCGGUGAAAUGCAGGGGCUCAACCCCGGCACUGCCGUUGAAACUGGCGAGCUCGAGUACGGAUGAAGUCGGCGGAAUGUGAUGUGUAGCGGUGAAAUGCUUAGAUAUGUCACAGAACACCGAUUGCGAAGGCAGCUGACUAAUCCGCAACUGACGCUCAGGCACGAAAGCGUGGGGAUCGAACAGGAUUAGAUACCCUGGUA